CUUUCAUGUGGAUAAAAAUGCUCGGUUUCUCAGAUCCCUCUCCUUCCCCUGCUUCUCUCCUUAUGUUCAAGUGGAACAUAUUGAUGCUCUGAAAGAUGACUCCAGGAGAGUUUGAGGAGGCAAACACCGUCUACACAGUACUACAAGGCUUUGUCCCAAGAACCUACAUAGCUAUGAUGGACAAGGUUAAGUAAUAAACCACACAGAGGCUGAAAGCUGCUGGACAAGUGCUCUGGUCACCUGUCCUUAGGCAAGAAUUCUGGAAGGUAUUUUGUGUAUAUUCAUUAGUUCUAGCUAAUCUAGAACCUCAUACAUGUUCAUUAUAACAACCUUGAUAAUGUUUUGUUUUAAAUCACCAUUCAUGUGGUUUGACAUACAUAGAAAUAUUCACUGAUUUUAUGUAUAUGUUUAGAUGAUUUGUGACAUAUAUGUCAUCAGAU
rnacentral:lncRNA from 13 species